rnacentral:rRNA from 1 species
UACGAAGGGGGCUAGCGUUGCUCGGAAUUACUGGGCGUAAAGCGCACGUAGGCGGAUCCUUAAGUCGGUGGUGAAAUCCUGAAGCUCAACUUCAGAACUGCCUUCGAUACUGGGGACCUUGAGUUCGGGAGAGGUGAGUGGAACUGCGAGUGUAGAGGUGAAAUUCGUAGAUAUUCGCAAGAACACCAGUGGCGAAGGCGGCUCACUGGCCCGAUACUGACGCUGAGGUGCGAAAGCGUGGGGAGCAAACAG